AAACUGAAGAGUUUGAUCAUGGCUCAGAUUGAACGCUGGCGGCAUGCCUAACACAUGCAAGUCGAACGGAAACGAUGCUAGCUUGCUAGCAGGCGUCGAGUGGCGGACGGGUGAGUAAUGCAUAGGAAUCUACCUAAUAGUGGGGGACAACCUGGUGAAAACCAGGCUAAUACCGCAUAAUCCCUACGGGGCAAAGCAGGGGACCUUCGGGCCUUGCGCUAAUAGAUGAGCCUAUGUCGGAUUAGCUUGUUGGUGGGGUAAUGGCCUACCAAGGCGACGAUCCGUAGCUGGUCUGAGAGGAUGAUCAGCCACACUGGGACUGAGACACGGCCCAGACUCCUACGGGA
rnacentral:rRNA from 1 species